GAUGAACGCUGGCGGCGUGCCUAAUACAUGCAAGUCGAGCGAACAGAUGAUGAGCUUGCUCUCCUGACGUUAGCGGCGGACGGGUGAGUAACACGUGGAUAACCUACCUAUAAGACUGGGAUAACUUCGGGAAACCGGAGCUAAUACCGGAUAAUAUAUUGAACCGCAUGGUUCAAUAGUGAAUGACGGUUUUGCUGUUUCUUAUAGACGGAUCCGGGCCGCAUUAGCUAGUUGGUAAGGUAACGGCUUACCAAGGCAACGAUGCGUAGCCGACCUGAGAGGGUGAUCAGCCACACUGGAACUGAGACACGGUCCAGACUCCUACGGGAGGCAGCAGUAGGGAAUCUUCCGCAAUGGGCGAAAGCCUGACGGAGCAACGCCGCGUGAGUGAUGAAGGUCUUCGGAUCGUAAAGCUCUGUUAUUAGGGAAGAACAAAAGUGUAAGUAACUAUGCACGUCUUGACGGUACCUAAUCAGAAAGCCACGGCUAACUACGUG
rnacentral:rRNA from 1 species